rnacentral:rRNA from 1 species
CAGGGAAUCUUGGACAAUGGGCGGAAGCCUGAUCCAGCCAUGCCGCGUGAGUGAUGAAGGCCUUAGGGUUGUAAAGCUCUUUCGCCAGGGAAGACAAUGACGGUACCUGGAUAAGAAGCCCCGGUUAACUUCGUGCCAGCAGCCGCGGUAAUACGAAGGGGGCUAGCGUUGUUCGGAAUUACUUGGCGCAAAGCGCACGUAGGCGGCUUUCCAAGUUGGAGGUGAAAUCCCCGGGCUUAACCCGGGAACUGCCUCCAAGACUGAAAGGCUAGAGUCCGAGAGAGGUGAGUGGAAUUUCCAGUGUAGAGGUGAAAUUCGUAGAUAUUGGAAAGAACACCAGUGGCGAAGGCGGCUCACUGGCUCGGUACUGACGCUGAGGUGUGACAGCGUGGGGAGCAAACA